rnacentral:rRNA from 1 species
GACGUAGGUGGCGAACGUUAUCCGGAAUUAUUGGGCGUAAAGGAUGCGUAGAUGGUGUAGUAAGUUAUCGGUGGCAAAUCGAGGCUCAACCUCGUGGAAGUCGGUAAUACUGCUAUGCUAGAGGAUAGGAGAGGUUAACGGAACUCCCUGUGGAGCAGUGAAAUGCGUAGAUAUAGGGAAGAACACCAAUAAGGCGAAGGCAGUUAACUAUUCUACUCCUGACAUUGAGGCAUGAAAGCGUGGGGAGCAAAACGG